rnacentral:misc_RNA from 1 species
GAUGUGUUUUCCUUUGAAUUUGUGGGUUGUGCCCAAACUUCAAGCCUAUCAGCCUCAUGUUGGCAUAACAUCAAAAGCAGCUGCUUCCGUUUUUCUCUUCCCACAACAUAAUUCUCCAUUUGGCCCCAGAUAGGGUGAAACUGAUCAUUCAUAUCAGCCACAGAAAUUCCAUUAUCUGGUCCCCGUCCUUUUGCAUCAGAUUGAACAUCUGUUCGCUCAUUCGAAAGAUAGUGGACAAAUAGAGAGACAGAC